AUCAUGUCUGGGACUUUUGGCUAAGAUCAAGUGUAGCAUCUGUUCUUAUCAGUUUAAUAUUGAAUAUGCCCUCUAUCUGAGAAUUCAAAAAUAAAAAUAGAAAGAAA
rnacentral:snRNA from 1 species